GACAGUGUAGGUAAGGUGACGUUCCGUGCCCGCUCCGAUCGGGUGACGGCACUUCGCAGAUGCACCCGGGUGCCACCGCUGGCCCUGCCCC
rnacentral:tRNA from 1 species